UAUUCCUAAAUGUAAACAUUGUGUCUUGAAUUGUUUGGCUAGUGCUGACUUAUUGAAUAUUGUGUUUUUUUCAGGUGCAGAAGCACGAGCUCUGGCACCAAGGGGUGACGAUGGAGUUGGGGUUAGAUUCCUGUAGCAAGAUGCAGAGCAAUGAGCAAAACAGCAUACCGGCACGGGAGCUGUCUUGGGCAAGAAGAACAACGGUGGUGCGAGAGCCUCGAUGGGACAAGAGAAGAUGGUGCCAUCUGAGUGGGCAAGCGGUCAAGAUAAGAGAGCAGGACAUGAGGAAUAAUGACUGCGGGCAGCCUAUGCUUUAGGGUAGUAUCUGAGCAUGUCUUGUUUUGUCUUCCGCAGGUGCUACAUGCAGCCUCAGAGGGGUGAAUCUUCAUGCAGGCAAACGGCCUGAGAGGUGCCACGCGGGCUGCCUUUGGAACGGGAAGAGCAUUUGAG